rnacentral:rRNA from 1 species
UGGGGAAUAUUGCACAAUGGGCGCAAGCCUGAUGCAGCCAUGCCGCGUGUAUGAAGAAGGCCUUCGGGUUGUAAAGUACUUUCAGCGGGGAGGAAGGGAGUAAAGUUAAUACAUUUGCUCAUUUACGUUACCCGCAGAAGAAGCACCGGUUAACUCCGUGCCAGCAGCCGCGGUAAUACGGAGGGUGCAAGCGUUAAUCGGAAUUACUGGGCGUAAAGCGUACGCAGGCGGUUUGUUAAGUCAGAUGUGAAAUCCCCGGGCUCAACCUGGGAACAGCAUCGGAUACUGGCAAGCUUGAGUCUCGUAGAGGGGGGUAGAAUUCCAGGUGUAGCGGUGAAAUGCGUAGAGAUCUGGAGGAAUACCGGUUGCGAAGGCGGCCCCCUGGACGAAGACUGACGCUCAGGUGCGAAAGCGUGGGGAGCAAACAGG